GACGAACGCUGGCGGCGUGCUUAACACAUGCAAGUCGAACGAUGACGACCGAGCUUGCUCGGUCUGAUUAGUGGCGAACAGGUGUGUAAAACGUGUGCAACCUGCCCCUUACACUGGGAUAACACCAGGAAAUCGGGGCUAUUAUCGCAUAUGACCUCCUGUCGCACGUCGCGUGUUGUAGAGUUGUGCGGUUAAGGAUGGGCUCGCGGCCCCUCAGUUUGUUGGUGAGGUAGUGGCUCACCAAGGCGAUGACGGGUAGCCGGCCUGAGAGGGCGACCGGCCACACUGGGACUGAGACACGGCCCAGACUCCUACGGGAGGCAGCAGUGGGGAAUAUUGCACAAUGGGCGAAAGCCUGAUGCAGCGACGCCGCGUGAGGGAUGACGGCCUUCGGGUUGUAAACCUCUUUCAGCAGGGAAGAAGCGAAAGUGACGGUACCUGCAGAAGAAGCGCCGGCUAACUACGUG
rnacentral:rRNA from 1 species